GAUGAAGAACGUAGCGAAAUGCGAUACGUAAUGUGAAUUGCAGAAUUCAGUGAAUCAUCGAGUCUUUGAACGCACAUUGCGCCCCCUGGUAUUCCGGGGGGCAUGCCUGUCCGAGCGUCAUUGCUGCCCUCAAGCACGGCUUGUGUGUUGGGCCUCCGUCCUCCUCCCGGGGGACGGGCCCGAAAGGCAGCGUCGGCACCGCGUCCGGUCCUCGAGCGUAUGGGGCUUCGUCACCCGCUCUUGUAGGCCCGGUCGGCGCUUGCCGACACAUCAAUCUUUUUUCCAGGUUGACCUCGGAUCAGGUAGGGAUACCCGCUGAACUUAAGCAUAUCAAUAAGCGGAGGA
rnacentral:misc_RNA from 1 species